GUCAGGAUCACUACGGAGUCAUCUCCUGACGUACAGUUGAAAAGCACCACACAAGAAUGUGUCUGUUUAUUCCACUGAGCAAGGAUCAUGCUGAGAGGUAGAAACUGUGAGCUGUAUUCACGUUGCCUGCUAUGGAACAUGGGAGCAAUGACAGCGCGUCAGGUCAAGAGACUGUUGCCUUUCAAUGCAAAGGACCACGAGAGAUUUCAUACUGGGGCACGUACUGACCAUUCGGCAGUGCUACUAAGAAAAGACAGGACUUCCACUGACUCAGCGGGCAGCUGGAAGAGUGAAAAGCCAGAGUCUCCAAGCAAAUAGUACUUUUCCAUGGAUGAUACCUUUGAUUUCAAUAUUUACAUCCUAGAUCACUGUUCAACCAUUUGAAGGGUCUGACCCAGAUGGCUCUACCUGGCUUGAAGGACUCUUUCCUGAGAUUCCAUGAGCUACACUUCGAUCCUAUAAAGGCAUGCAGGCAGCUGCAUGAGAGGUGGAAAGAGAGAGAAUGAUUGAGAUGAAAUCACCACCAACAGCUCCUGCAGGCAGAAAGGCAGCAUUGGAUCCCAGCCACGACACUUCUGCAACCUGGUUUGAAUGGGCCUGAUGGGAUGCCAUAAUGUAACCUACACUGAACAAGGACCUUGCUGAUCUCUUCAAAGAGGAAACUGAUAAAGUAUGAUGACUGUGCUGCUGACUGUGACUUUCCUUAUGCAUCCUACCUAUCUUGUCUCUUUUUCCAUCCAGAUGAAUGAGAUUCUAAGGCUGAGAGCAGGUGUUUGUGAUGAGAUCCCAUGCUGUGACAUGCAUGCAGCACAUUCUUACAUGAAAAGCCCUGGCUGAUGAAAUGACCACAGGAAGACAACAUGGAACCCUCCCGGCAGGAUCAGAAGAAGCUUAAUUAAGAUCUGUGAUUAAUUUUAAAGGACCUUUUGUUGGAAACAGAGCAAGGAACUUCAGUCUGGCUUUCAAAAGUGCUGAACACCCAAAGUUCCUACUGCGGUCUCCAGGAGUUACAGGUAUCUGUUCUGCAGCUCCUGCCCUCCCUGCUCCUCUCCCAGUGAGCAUUAUAGGACCCUGGUACCAGAACAUGGGGAAAUUGAAAGACCUAGGAAAGUGGAAAAUUCAAAGUCUUUCCCCCCCUGCCCACCCCUACCUCCCCAUCCUGCGUAUUCCCUCCUGCCGCUGUGUAGGGAAGAAAGACUGCACUCCUGCCCCACAGGUGGAGAAAAGCCUCCUGGUCCCACUGCCCAGGGCUCCUCUGGGAUGAUGAUGCUGCCACAGACCCGGGGACCAGCUCUGCACCCCCUGGAUGCUCCACCAGCACCCCAGAAACAUGGUGGGAGCUCAAGUGGCAGGUGAGCUGAGAGGCCCAGAGAGCCCAAGCCAUGAACUUCCCUUGGGGAAAGAGAGAUGCAGGUAUCUCAGCAGAAGCUACAUCUUUCCAAGGGUAGUAACUGUGCCAGGAGAAUAUGUCCAGCUGCCUCUUAGUAAAGGGAUGAUAAACACCAGGCCAGGGAAUGUCCUUUAUUGGAAAAGACAGAUUAAAAAAUAGAUAAAAAAGAGGAGGAAAUGCUUGAUGUGCACUUGAAGAGCCUGGAUUUGUUCAAAUACAAGCAUGGAAAGUCUGAGUGAUCUUCACAUUCAGAUCACAACUUCACUGUAAAGGAAAGGUCACUUUUGCUUGUGUUCUGGGGCAGCUUUUUCUCUUUUGUCCCCUUGAGAGGAUUCUAGGAGCGGCUGGAUUCAAUCCUAGUCCCAGACAUGGAUCUGUCCGUACAAUCAGCCACACACAAGCCUGCCAGAAAAUAUUUGCCUUGAAAAUAAACAAGAUGAUAAACCUUCAUUUAAUGUUCACAACUGCUAGCUCUGUUUGAGGAGUCCAGAGUGAAUAAUGUGUGGUAAUUCAGAGACAACUCAAGAGCUACCUGACCUCACUGAGUUAUUGAUGAUGAGAUGGGGAGCUCUUCAUGAAGCCCUGAGCACUCUUUGUGGGCUGUUGCUUCCUGCUCCCCUUGACCAAAAGCCUCUCAUCAGGGAAGCAGGGCAGAUGUUCCCACUUCUUCAGCUGUACUUUUGUGACUAUCUCAUCACAGUGGAUAUUUUGGAUAUGGCGGAUGCAUUGGCUAGUUAUCUACUGGAACUUCAGUAUGGCCUUUGACACUGUCUCUGGUAAGAUCCUCAUAGACAAGCUGUCAAUGUAUGGGCUGGACGAGCAAACAGUAAGGAGGACUGAAAACUGGUUGAAGAGCCAGGCCCAGAGCCCGGUGGUCAGUGGCAUGAAGUCUAGUUGGAGACCAGUAACUAACAGUGUACCCCAGAGGACAGUACCAGGUCCAGUCCUGUUUAACAUCUUCACUAAUGAUCUGGAUGAUGGGGGACAGUGUACCCUCAGCAAAUUUGAAGAUGACACAAAACUGGGAGGAGUGGCUGAUAUGCUAGAGAGUCAUGCUGCCAUUCAGAAAGAUCUCAACAGGCUGGAGAAACGGGCUAACAGGAAAAUCAUGAAGCUCAACAAGGAGAAGGGCCAAGUUCUGCACCUGGGGAGGAACAACUCCCUGCACCAGUACGAGCAGGGGGCCACACAGCUGGAAAGGAGAAAAGGACCAGAGGUGUCCUGGCGGACACCAAGUUGAACAUGAGCCAGCCGUGUGCCCAUGUGGCAAAGAAGGCAAAUGGCAUCCUGGUCUGCAUUAGGAGGAGUAUUGCCAGCAGGUCAAGGGAGGUGAUUCUUCCCCUCUACUCAGCACCAGUAAGGCCACACCUGGAGUCCUGUGUCCAGUUCUAGACUCCUUAGUAGAAAAGAAACAUGGACACGUUGGUGAAAGUCCAGUGAAGGGCCAUAAAGAUGAUUAAGGGACUGGAGCAUCUCUCCUAUAAGGAGAAGCUGAAAGACCUGGGACUGUUCAGGCUGGAAGAGAGAAGGCUCAAGGGAGGAUCUUAUCAAAGUACAUAAGAAGACAGGGACAGGUUCUUUCCAGUGGUGCCCCAGUGACAGAACAAGAGGCAACAGGCACAAACUGAAACUCAGGAAGGUCCCUCUGAACAUCAAGAAAAAGUUUACACUGAGCGUGACGAAGCACUGGCACACAUUGCCCAGAAAGGUGGUAG